rnacentral:rRNA from 1 species
UAAAGGUUUGGUCCUAGCCUUUUUAUUAGCUUAUGGUAAACUUACACAUGCAAAUCUCCUUGUUCCGGUGAGAAUGCCCUCUAUAUCAACAUGAUCAAAAGGAGCAGGUAUCAAGCUCACUAUUACAGUUGCUCAUAACGCCUUGCUUAACCACACCCCCACGGGAUACAGCAGUGAUUAAAAUUUAGCCAUAAACGAAAGUUUGACUAAGUUAUGCCAUUAAGAGUUGGUAAAUUUCGUGCCAGCCACCGCGGUCAUACGAUUAACCCUAGCUAAUAAAACACGGCGUAAAACGUGAUUAAGACUUACUCCCCUUAAUAAGAUUAAGGUAUGACUAAACUGUAAAAAGCCCUAGUUAUAACAAAAAUAAAUGACGAAAGUAAUCUUAAUGUUUCUGAAUUCACGAUAGCUAAGACCCAAACUGGGAUUAGAUACCCCACUAUGCUUAGCCCUAAACAUAGAUAUUCAACUAACAAGAACAUCCGCCAGAGUACUACUAGCUAUAGCUUAAAACUCAAAGGACUUGGCGGUGCUUUAUACCCCUCUAGAGGAGCCUGUUCUAUAAUCGAUAAACCCCGCUAUACCUUACCACCUUUUGCAAUAUCAGCCUAUAUACCGCCAUCUUCAGCAAACCUUAACAAGGUCCCACAGUAAGCAUAAUAAUUACACAUAAAAACGUUAGGUCAAGGUGUAGCCUAUAAGGUGGAAAGCAAUGGGCUACAUUUUCUANYYUUUUAGAAUAGUAAUCACGUUAGCCUUCAUGAAAUUGAAAGUCUAAGGCGGAUUUAGUAGUAAGCUAAGAAUAGAGAGCUUAGCUGAAUUGGGCAAUAAAGCACGCACACACCGCCCGUCACCCUCUUCAAGUCUCAUAACAUAAAUGCAAAGUUAGUAAUUAAAUAAAAUUUARUGAUACAAGAAGAGAUAAGUCGUAACAAGGUAAACAUACUGGAAAGUGUGUUUGGAAUAA